AAUAUUGGACAAUGGGGGAAACCCUGAUCCAGCCAUCCCGCGUGUAUGAUGAAGGCCUUCGGGUUGUAAAGUACUUUUGGCAGAGAAGAAAAGGUACCUCCUAAUACGAGGUACUGCUGACGGUAUCUGCAGAAUAAGCACCGGCUAACUACUUCCCACCAGCCGCGGUAAUACGUAGGGUGCAAGCGUUAAUCGGAAUUACUGGGUGUAAAGCGUGAGUAGGAGAUUCGAAAAGAAAGAUGUGAAAUCCCAGGGAUCAACCUUGGAACUGCAUUUUUAACUGCCGAGCUAGAGUAUGUCAGAGGGGGAUAGAAUUCCACGUGUAGCAGUGAAAUGCGUAGAUAUGUGGAGGAAUACCGAUGGCGAAGGCAGCCCCCUGGGAUAAUACUGACGCUCAGACACGAAAGCGUGGGGAGCAAA
rnacentral:rRNA from 1 species